UUUUUUUUUUCAAUUUUGUUUUUUUAAAAUUUGUCACAGUGCUAACUGGCUGUGCAAUGGACUGCUGCAAUAACAAGUAAUGUGCAUAAAGUAUGUAAUAUCUGUAGUAUGAUGGUAUCGGCACCCUCCCUUGAAUUCAGACCGCACUAAACAGAAAUGUAGGAAGUAUAAACUCUGCAUAUUGCUCUAUUUUCAGCAUUUCUUUUGAACAGUGUCAAGAAUCCUCAGACGUAAGCCCUUCCUCAGCACUCCUCCCCUUAAUGUCAAACUUUGUGGAGUCUGGGUUAAAAAAUUGUUUUUGUUUUUUUUUUAAUUUUAGCUCUUGUGUUUAUUGAGGAGAAAAAAAAGCUAUUUUAUAUUUUGUUAAGAAAGUGACCUAAAAAAAAUCCUGCAAGGCAUAAGCCUUUGUAAAGAAACAAAAUAAAAAUGUUUGUACUUUGUUUUUCUAGAAA